rnacentral:rRNA from 1 species
CCUGAUGCAGCGACGCCGCGUGAGGGAUGAAGGCCUUCGGGUUGUAAACCUCUUUCAGCAGGGAAGAAGCGCAAGUGACGGUACCUGCAGAAGAAGCGCCGGCUAACUACGUGCCAGCAGCCGCGGUAAUACGUAGGGCGCAAGCGUUGUCCGGAAUUAUUGGGCGUAAAGAGCUCGUAGGCGGUUUGUCGCGUCUGGUGUGAAAACUCGAGGCUCAACCUCGAGCUUGCAUCGGGUACGGGCAGACUAGAGUGCGGUAGGGGAGACUGGAAUUCCUGGUGUAGCGGUGGAAUGCGCAGAUAUCAGGAGGAACACCGAUGGCGAAGGCAGGUCUCUGGGCCGCAACUGACGCUGAGGAGCGAAAGCAUGGGGAGCGAACAGGAUUAGAUACCCUGGUAGUCCAUGCCGUAAACGUUGGGCACUAGGUGUGGGGCUCAUUCCACGAGUUCCGUGCCGCAGCAAACGCAUUAAGUGCCCCGCCUGGGGAGUACGGCCGCAAGGCUAAAACUCAAAGGAAUUGACGGGGGCCCGCACAAGCGGCGGAGCAUGCGGAUUAAUUCGAUGCAACGCGAAGAACCUUACCAAGGCUUGACAUGCACGAGAAGCCACCAGAGAUGGUGGUCUCUUUGGACACUCGUGCACAGGUGGUGCAUGGUUGUCGUCAGCUCGUGUCGUGAGAUGUUGGGUUAAGUCCCGCAACGAGCGCAACCCUCGUCCCAUGUUGCCAGCGGGUUAUGCCGGGGACUCAUGGGAGACUGCCGGGGUCAACUCGGAGGAAGGUGGGGAUGACGUCAAAUCAUCAUGCCCCUUAUGUCUUGGCUUCACGCAUGCUACAAUGGCCGGUACAAA